CCUCCCUGCUUUUCUCUGCCUCGGUCAGUUGUGGGCAUGGGGAUGGGGCAGCAACAGGGGCUUGGGCAGCUGCAUGUGCCUGUUCAUGGGGACCCUCAGGCUCAGACAGUUGAAGCAGAUGAGGCCCUGAGGUAAGGGAAUCAGCUCAGAUGUCCAGGUGAAAAUCUGACAGGGACUCACUUCCAGGGCUGAGUCUGGGCCAGAAAACCUGUGAGCAGAAAGAGAUUCUCCCCAGACCCACCAUCUGGGCUGAGCCAGGACCUGUGAUCCCUUCUGGGACCCCUGUGACCAUCUGAUGUCAGGGGACCCUGGAGGCCCAGGAGUACUCUCUGUAUGAUGAAGAAAUGCAUACAUGUUUGGACACACAGUAACCACUGGAGCCCAGGGGCAAGGCCAAGUUUUUCAUGAAAGACAUCUCUGCAAGGAGAUAUUAUUGUAAAUAUCUCAGCCCUGUAGGCAGCUCAGAGCACAAUGACCCCUGGAUCUGGUGGUGACAGGAUAAUACAACAAACCCAGCCUCUCAGCCCUGCCCAGCCCUGUUGUGACCUCAGGAGGGAACGUGACCCUCCAGUGUGGCUCACAGAAGGUAUUUGACAGGCUCAUUCUGACUAAGGAAGGAGAAGACAGGCUCUCCUGGACCCUGGACUCACAGCAACACCCCAGUGGGCAGGUUCAGGCCCUGUUCACUGUGGGCCCUGUGACCCUCAGCCACAAGUGGACAUUCAGAUGCUAUGGAUAUUUUAGAAAUCAUCCCCAGGAAUGGUCUGACCCCAGUGACCCCCUGGAGCUCCUGGUCUCAGGUGAGGGCCCCUGACCCCAUCCUCUCUGAGCAGUCAGCUCAGGGUCCUG